rnacentral:rRNA from 1 species
CGUGAGGGACGAAGCCUUUCGGGGCGUAAACCUCUUUUAUCUGGGACGAAAAACCCGCAAGGGUCUGACGGUACCAGGUGAAUAAGCCACGGCUAACUAUGUGC